GACGAACGCUGGCGGCGUGCUUAACACAUGCAAGUCGAACGGAAAGGCCCUGCUUUUGCGGGGUGCUCGAGUGGCGAACGCGUGAGUAACACGUGAGUAACCUGCCCUUGACUUUGUGAUAUCUUCUCGAAAAAGGGGCUCUUACCGGAUAGAAGCUCCUGCUCCAUGUUGGGGGUUGGAAAGUUCCGGCGGUUGUGGCUGGACUCGCGGCUUAUCAGCUUGUUGGUGGGGUAGUUGAUUUCCAAGGCUUUGACGGGUAGCCGGCCUGAGAGGGUGACCGGGCACAUGGGGACUGAGAUACGGCCCAGACUCCUACGGGAGGCAGAAGUGGAGAAUAUUGCACAAUGGGCGGAAGCCUGAUGCAGCAACGCCGCGUGCGGGAUGACGGCCUUCGGGUUGUAAACCGCUUUCGCAGGUGACGAAGCGUGAGUGACGGUAAUGGGUAAAGAAGCACCGGCUAACUACGUG
rnacentral:rRNA from 1 species